UUGGGACUCACUAGCACACUCCUUGCUGCUUUCGUGCUUGAUGGCUUCUGAUGAACCAAUGAUAGAGAUCCUUCCCUAACAGCUGCUGUUCAAUCCGUCCCUGAGAGUGAGAGGAGUCGUAGGAAUUCACAUUGCCUUUUACGGCUUGGAAUUCCUAUUGUAUAGAAUAAAUGUAUUGGGCAAUGGUGCUGUUCGAUCCGUCCUUGAGAGUGAGAGGAGUCGUAGGAAUUCACAUUGCCUUUUACGACUUGGAAUUCCUAUUGUAUAGAAUAACUAUUGGGCAAUGCCUUUCUUUUCUUGAAUUCCAAAAUUCUCCGCCUUUUCUCAGCUUGACACCUACUUUAGAAACAGCUUUUUCUAAGUACGACAAAGCUUCCUUGUAAACUAAGGCUAAGGCACGCUCGAUUGCAAGAAGCUAGUGACUUCUUUCAGGUCAUUAACUAGAACUUGCACGAGGUAUCACGUGGGGCCUGUCUUCUGUCAGGUUCUUGGGUCCGGUCGAGCCUCUUUGAAAUUAUAUCCCUGCCUCUCGUCUAACUCGAGUUGCCCCGCUCCUUUGGCAGUUAAAGUAGCUCGCUUCAAGAAGUAAGAUUAUAUCCCUAGGGGUAUGUUACGAGCAGAAGUUCUCUUGCUAGUGGAAGUAAGAGUAGCAAGGUUAGGACCGCAUAUAAAUAUAAUAGGGGGUUCGAAAGAAAUUAGAUUCCCUAGAAGUUUUGUCCGGUUGGGAAAGCCAGAACUCUUGUAAACCAGCUUGAUAAAGGGUAGUGGUAGGGACAGUCUCAGUACCACUGAAAGUGCGAUAGUCCUUCAA
rnacentral:lncRNA from 1 species